CCCCACCAUCCUCCAGGGAAGGACAGCGUCCAGGGAAACGUGGGAGUCAGCUCCAAGCCCGGCCCUCGGGAAGCUCAGACACAACAGGAGUGACCGGGUGAGGCUGCAUUCCCAGGAACAGGCACUCACAGAGCAGGUGGCCAGAACCGUGGAGUGCCGGCCCCCGUCAGCACUGAAGUCCCCGGCUCUGCUGAUUCUGAGGCCCCUCUCACCCCAGUCAGUUCCCGGCCUCUCGCCCUCACCGGGGGAUCCAACUCCAAC
rnacentral:lncRNA from 1 species